rnacentral:rRNA from 1 species
GACGAACGCUGGCGGCGUGCUUAACACAUGCAAGUCGAACGGAAAGGCCCUGCUUUUGUGGGGUGCUCGAGUGGCGAACGGGUGAGUAACACGUGAGUAACCUGCCCUUGACUUUGGGAUAACUUCAGGAAACUGGGGCUAAUACCGGAUAGGAGCUCCUGCUGCAUGGUGGUGGUUGGAAAGUUUCGGCGGUUGGGGCUGGACUCGCGGCUUAUCAGCUUGUUGGUGGGGUAGUGGCUUACCAAGGCUUUGACGGGUAGCCGGCCUGAGAGGGUGACCGGCCACAUUGGGACUGAGAUACGGCCCAGACUCCUACGGGAGGCAGCAGGGGGGAAUAUUGCACAAUGGGCGGAAGCCUGAUGCAGCAACGCCGCGUGCGGGAUGACGGCCUUCGGGUUGUAAACCGCUGUCGCCUGUGACGAAGCGGGAGUGACGGUAAUGGGUAAAGAAGCACCGGCUAACUACGUG